ACCUUUCAAAUCAGGGUGCGACGCGGCCCCCGAGGAGCGGAAACAAUCCUUGGGAGGUAUGCGGGGGCUUCGAGCCCCCCAUUUACGCACGCACGACUGCCAUCCUUACUUUACGAGCACCUUCUGUUCUCCCUCGGCGGGGCAACCUGCCGUUGGAACCGAAUAAACUCUUUUUGCAUCUAGCAUUACCUGUUCCGAAACAAACAAUCGUUA
rnacentral:misc_RNA from 1 species